rnacentral:rRNA from 1 species
GAGCCAGACUCCUACGGGAGGCAGCAGUGGGGGAUAUUGCACAAUGGGGGGAACCCUGAUGCAGCGACGCCGCGUGGGUGAAGAAGUAUUUCGGUAUGUAAAGCCCUAUCGGCAGGGAAGAAAUUGGACGGUACCUGACUAAGAAGCCCCGGCUAACUACGUGCCAGCAGCCGCGGUAAUACGUAGGGGGCAAGCGUUAUCCGGAUUUACUGGGUGUAAAGGGGGCGCAGACGGCAGCGCAAGCCAGGAGUGAAAGCCCGGGGCCCAACCCCGGGACUGCUCUUGGAACUGCGCGGCUGGAGUGCAGGAGGGGCAGGCGGAAUUCCUGGUGUAGCGGUGAAAUGCGUAGAUAUCAGGAGGAACACCGGCGGCGAAGGCGGCCUGCUGGACCGCGACUGACGUUGAGGCUCGAAAGCGUGGGGAGCGAACAGGAUUAGAUACCCGUGUAC